rnacentral:rRNA from 1 species
AACGAACGCUGGCGGCAUGCCUAACACAUGCAAGUCGAACGAGACCUUCGGGUCUAGUGGCGCACGGGUGCGUAACGCGUGGGAACCUGCCCUUAGGUUCGGCAUCACUCCCCGAAAGGGGUGCUAAUACCGGCUAAUGUUUUCGGACCAAAGUUUUAUCGCCUUGGGAUGGGCCCGCGUUGGAUUAGCUAGUUGGUAGGGUAAAAGCCUACCAAGGCGACGAUCCAUAGCUGGUCUGAGAGGAUGGUCAGCCACGCUGGGACUGAGACACGGCCCAGACUCCUACGGGAGGAAGCAGUGGGGAAUAUUGGACGAUGGGCGAAAGCCUGAUCCAGCAAGGCCGCGUGAGUGAUGAAGGCCUUAGGGUUGUGAAGCUCUUUUACCCGGGAUGAUAAUGACAGUACCGGGAGAAUAAGCGCCGGCUAACUCCGUG